CCUGCUUCCCAGGAUAGCUCCAGGUAAGGAAGUGGGGAAUUUGAUGGGGCAUUAUACUGUCGAACAGUAAAGCAGAUGUCCUAAGGUGAGUCCAGGGAAGAUAGAAACCUCUCAUGAAGCAGAAGGGCAAAUGCUAGCUUCAACUUGAUUUUCAAUACGAAUACAGACACGAAAGUAGAACCUCAUGAUCCUUUUGAACUUUCAGGUUUUAAGCAGGGAUAAUUGGCUUGUGGCACCCAAGUAUUCAUAAGCACUGUCACUUUUUGAUCUUUCAAUGUCAACUCUUCCUAUCAUUUGAAGCAGAAAACUAUCCUUAUAUUCACUGAUCUUAUAAAACUUGCUGUUCUAGCAAGAUAGUAAGU
rnacentral:ncRNA from 1 species